CAUAGGCAAGCUGACCAGUACGCUGUCCAGGGUCACUCAAAGAAUUGUUGGAAAUUUACUUGCAGACAUGGUUAUGCCUCGGGUGUGACCCAGUCUUUCCCAGUACAGCUGCCUGUGGAACCAGCUCAUCCAUCUUCUAGCCUAAAAGGCACUGGACAGCACAGAAGCCCUGCUGGUCAGGAAGAGUCCAGCCCCAGGAUCAGAGUCGUGACAAGCCGCCCCGCAGACAGCUGAAGUGGCCGGCAGGAAGCCAGGAUGGGACAGUGCUCACAAGUCCCCCACCUCUGCUGGACCACCAGGCUCCUGGGAGUCAUUAGCCUUCUCUGUGUCUGCAGCACUUUAGCCAAGAGUUCUGGAGCUCAUGGUUCUGGGAUUAAAGGUUUUAGAACCCACACUAAUCUGACAGCAAUCCAGGGAGGUUCGGUCUUGUUCCAAGUGAUCCAGGAGCCAGAAGAUCCCAAGAUAGAGGAGAUCUCCUGGGGUGUCACCUCUGAUUCAAAUGCCAUUUACAUGCUGAGACUCCAGAAUGGGACGGAAGAUCCAAAGUGGUUUGGUCUUCAGGACAAGUACAAGCAGAGGGUCCAGGUGCCCAGUAUGUCAUCCCUGAGGAUUAACAAUUUGAUAUCACAGGACAGUGGGCAGUACUGGGCCCAGAUCAUACUUCAGACGGGAAGAGAAAUUAAACGAGUUUUCCACCUCACUGUUUAUGGUAAGUGACAGCCUCACCUAGUCCCAGGGCCAGCCUCCUUCUUUGAGUCUAGGAAUCUCUGAGACCACAUGCUUCAGGAUUCU